AACGAACGCUGGCGGCAUGCCUAACACAUGCAAGUCGAACGAGACCUUCGGGUCUAGUGGCGCACGGGUGCGUAACGCGUGGGAACCUGCCCAUGGGUUUGGAAUAACUCCCCGAAAGGGGUGCUAAUACCGGAUAAUGUCUUCGGACCGAAGAUUUAUCGCCUUUGGAGGGGCCCGCGUUGGAUUAGCUAGUUGGUAGGGUAAAAGCCUACCAGGGCGACGAUCCAUAGCUGGUAUGCGAGGAUGAUCAGCCACACUGGGACUGAGACACGGCCCAGACUCCUGCGGGAGGCAGCAGUGGGGAAUAUUGGACAAUGGGCGAAAGCCUGAUCCAGCAAUGCCGCGUGAGUGCUGAAGGCCUUAGGGUUGUAAAGCUCUUUUACCCGGGAUGAUAAUGACAGUACCGGGAGAAUAAGCUCCGGCUAACUCCGUG
rnacentral:rRNA from 1 species